rnacentral:rRNA from 1 species
GACGAACGCUGGCGACGUGCUUAACACAUGCAAGUCGAACGAAGUGGCGAACGGGUGAGUAACGCGUAAUCAACCUGCCCUUCAGAGGGGGACAACAGUUGGAAACGACUGCUAAUACCGCAUACUGAAGGAGGGGAUUGCGUCUGAUUAGCUAGUUGGAGGGGUAACGGCCCACCAAGGCGAUGAUCAGUAGCCGGUCUGGAAGGAUGAACGGCCACAUUGGGACUGGGGCACGGCCCAGACUCCUACGGGAGGCAAGAGUGGGGGAUCUUCCGCAAUGGACGAAAGUCUGGCGGAGCAACGCCGGGUGAAUGGUGACGGCCUUCGGGUUGGAAAGCUCUGUUAAUCGGGACGCGGUACCGGAAUAGAAAGCCACGGCUAACUACGUGCCAGCAGCCGCGGUAAUAC